UGCUGGAGCGAAUAGAAGUGAGCAUGCAGGCAUGAGUAGCGAUAAUUAAUGUGAGAAUCAUUAACGCCGUAAACCCAAGGUUUCCUACGCGAUGCUCGUCAUCGUAGGGUUAGUCGGGUCCUAAGUCGAGUCCGAAAGGGGUAGACGAUGGCAAAUUGGUUAAUAUUCCAAUACCAACAUUAGUGUGCGAUGGAAGGACGCUUAGGGCUAAGGGGGCUAGCGGAUGGAAGUGCUAGUCUAAGGUCGUAGGAGGUUAUACAGGCAAAUCCGUAUAACAAUACUCCGAGAACUGAAAGGCUUUUUGAAGUCUUCGGAUGGAUAGAAGAACCCCUGAUGCCGUCGAGCCAAGAAAAGUUUCUAAGUUUAGCUAAUGUUGCCCGUACCGUAAACCGACACAGGUGGGUGGGAUGAGUAUUCUAAGGCGCGUGGAAGAACUCUCUUUAAGGAACUCUGCAAAAUAGCACCGUAUCUUCGGUAUAAGGUGUGGUUCGCUUCGUACUAGGAUUUACUCCGAAAGCGAAGAAACUUACAACAAAGAGUCCCUCCCGACUGUUUACCAAAAACACAGCACUCUGCUAACUCGUAAGAGGAUGUAUAGGGUGUGACGCCUGCCCGGUGCUCGAAGGUUAAUUGAUGGGGUUAGCAUUAGCGAAGCUCUUGAUCGAAGCCCGAGUAAACGGCGGCCGUAACUAUAACGGUCCUAAGGUAGCGAAAUUCCUUGUCGGUUAAAUACCGACCUGCAUGAAUGGCGUAACGAGAUGGGAGCUGUCUCAAAGAGGGAUCCAGUGAAAUUGUAGUGGAGGUGAAAAUUCCUCCUACCCGCGGCAAGACGGAAAGACCCCGUGGACCUUUACUACAGCUUGACACUGCUACUUGGAUAAGAAUGUGCAGGAUAGGUGGGAGGCUUUGAGUAUAUGACGCCAGUUGUAUAUGAGCCAUUGUUGAGAUACCACUCUUUCUUAUUUGGGUAGCUAACCAGCUUGAGUUAUCCUCAAGUGGGACAAUGUCUGGUGGGUAGUUUGACUGGGGCGGUCGCCUCCCAAAUAAUAACGGAGGCUUACAAAGGUUGGCUCAGAACGGUUGGAAAUCGUUCGUAGAGUAUAAAGGUAUAAGCCAGCUUAACUGCAAGACAUACAAGUCAAGCAGAGACGAAAGUCGGUCUUAGUGAUCCGGUGGUUCUGUGUGGAAGGGCCAUCGCUCAAAGGAUAAAAGGUACCCCGGGGAUAACAGGCUGAUCUCCCCCAAGAGCUCACAUCGACGGGGAGGUUUGGCACCUCGAUGUCGGCUCAUCGCAUCCUGGGGCUGGAGCAGGUCCCAAGGGUAUGGCUGUUCGCCAUUUAAAGCGGUACGCGAGCUGGGUUCAGAACGUCGUGAGACAGUUCGGUCCCUAUCUGCCGUGGGCGUAAGAAGAUUGAAGAGAUUUGACCCUAGUACGAGAGGACCGGGUUGAACAAACCACUGGUGUAGCUGUUGUUCUGCCAAGAGCAUCGCAGCGUAGCUAAGUUUGGAAAGGAUAAACGCUGAAAGCAUCUAAGCGUGAAGCCAACUCUAAGAUGAAUCUUCUCUAAGCUCUCUAGAAGACUACUAGUUUGAUAGGCUGGGUGUGUAAUGGAUGAAAGUCCUUUAGCUGACCAGUACUAAUAGAGCGUUUGGCUUAUCUUUAAUAAAGCAU
rnacentral:rRNA from 1 species